UCAUGUUCUUAUAACUAUCAUGUCUCAUUCCAAUAAUUUCUUGCAAGUUAGUUAGGAAAAUUCCAUAGGACAUUGAACUUAGUUGGUCUUUGCUCGAUCUAUCUUAGAUGGCUCAGCAUAUCCCAACCAAUGCCUUCCAUACUCGGCCUAUAAGGCAUCAUUUAGAUCCUAUGUUGAGCCAUACAUGAAAUUAUGCAAUCUAUUUUCCCUAGAUGGAAUUAGAGGGUAUUAAGGUUUAUGCUUUUAAUUACUAUUUUAGUUUGCCAAUUCUAGAUGCUUGGUUUGAAAACUCUUCAACAAUAUCUUGUCC
rnacentral:lncRNA from 1 species